GAUGAACGCUGGCGGCGUGCCUAAUACAUGCAAGUCGAGCGAACAGACGAGGAGCUUGCUCCUCUGACGUUAGCGGCGGACGGGUGAGUAACACGUGGAUAACCUACCUAUAAGACUGGGAUAACUUCGGGAAACCGGAGCUAAUACCGGAUAAUAUAUUAAACCGCAUGGUUCAAUAGUGAAAGACGGUUUUGCCGUCACUUAUAGAUGGAUCCGCGCCGCAUUAGCUAGUUGGUAAGGUAACGGCUUACCAAGGCGACGAUGCGUAGCCGACCUGAGAGGGUGAUCGGCCACACUGGAACUGAGACACGGUCCAGACUCCUACGGGAGGCAGCAGUAGGGAAUCUUCCGCAAUGGGCGAAAGCCUGACGGAGCAACGCCGCGUGAGUGAUGAAGGUCUUCGGAUCGUAAACCUCUGUUAUUAGGGAAGAACAAAUGUGUAAGUAACUAUGCACGUCUUGACGGUACCUAAUCAGAAAGCCACGGCUAACUACGUG
rnacentral:rRNA from 1 species